UUCCUCCUUCACAGAAGAGAAAGAACGAACCGUCCUUGCUUAGAGACACGCCAUUUGGGAAAUGAAGAUCUCUCACGAGUACAGUGGUUUCUCCCGUAGCAGCAUUAUACUUCAAAAGUCUCCCGGUGUUUUCAGCAGAAAAAACUACUUGUAUGAAGUUCCUGCACAAGAAAUAUAGGUUAUAAGAACUCUUAGAAGGUUUCUAGUCUUGAAAAAUCAGAGUUAAAAGAGAAGCAGCUAGGAAACAGUGAUCACAAAUGCUAAAGAAUAUAAGCACCAAGCAGUCGUUUGAUUGUUUCUCAGAAUCCAUCUAGCUAACCCAAAUUACUAUGUUGACUUGAACGAGAACAACAUCAACAAGUUUUAUAGAUAAAGAACAUAAACGAGAUUUUUCAUUCCUCUGAUCAUUGUUUCCU
rnacentral:lncRNA from 1 species